rnacentral:rRNA from 1 species
CAGUCGAACGCUUCACUUCGGUGAAGAGUGGCGAACGGGUGAGUAUCCAUAAGUAACCUGGCAUCUACAGGGGGAUAACUGAUGGAAACGUCAGCUAAGACCGCAUAGGUGUAGAGAUCGCAUGAACUCUAUACGAAAAGUGCUACGGGACUGGUAGAUGAUGGACUUAUGGCGCAUUAGCUGGUUGGUAGGGUAACGGUCUACCAAGGCGACGAUGCGUAGCCGACCUGAGAGGGUGACCGGCCACACUGGGACUGAGACACGGCCCAGACUCCUACGGGAGGCAGCAGUAGGGAAUUUUCGGCAAUGGGGGAAACCCUGACCGAGCAACGCCGCGUGAAGGAAGAAGUAAUUCGUUAUGUAAACUUCUGUCAUAGAGGAAGAACGGUGGAUAUAGGGAAUGAUAUCCAAGUGACGGUACUCUAUAAGAAAGCCACGGCUAACUACGUGCCAGCAGCCGCGGUAAUACGUAGGUGGCGAGCGUUAUCCGGAAUUAUUGGGCGUAAAGAGGGAGCAGGCGGCACUAAGGGUCUGUGGUGAAAGAUCGAAGCUUAACUUCGGUAAGCCAUGGAAACCGUAGAGCUAGAGUGUGUGAGAGGAUCGUGGAAUUCCAUGUGUAGCGGUGAAAUGCGUAGAUAUAUGGAGGAACACCAGUGGCGAAGGCGACGAUCUAGCGCAUAACUGACGCUCAGUCCCGAAAGCGUGGGGAGCAAAUAGGAUUAGAUACCCUAGUAGUCCACGCCGUANACGAUGAGUACUAAGUGUUGGGAGNCAAAUCUCAGUGCUGCAGUUAACGCAAUAAGUA